UGGGCGGCAAGUCAGGGUGUUCACCCGCUAAAUUUAAGCAUAUAAGUCAGCGGACACGACUAGGAAAAGAAAUCAAUUGAGAUUCCCCCAGUAGCUGCGAGCGAACAGGGAAAAGCCCGAGACCGAAUCCUGACGGCGCCGCAAGGUGCUUUGGGACCUGUAGUCUAAGGGUAGGCUUCGCGACAAGGAGGUCCACAGCACACGGGCUGAGAUCCCGGGGCACAGGGCGUUACACACGACUUGGUGGGCCGAUCUGGCAAGGAGUUUACCCGCGAGUAGGCUAGCUUGAAAGUGCUAGCUGAAUAUGGGUGGUGCUGGCCAUCCAAGGCUAAAUAUGAAAGCGUAGUAACCGAUAGCAAACAAGUACUGUAAAGGAAAGCUGAAAAGCACCUCGCCUGAGGAGCUAAAAGAGCAUGAAAUCCGUCUUAUGUGAACCGGACAUCCCGGCUCGUUGAACAGCGUCGGUAGAGGUAACCCUCUGCCACACGGCGCUUAGUAUGACACGGCUGCGGUUGAGGUAACGCUGGGAAAGGCGCUUCGUGUGGGUUCAAGUCUACGGACCUGGGCUUGCUGGGGUGCUGGAACCGUGGGGCUUCGCCGUCAAGGCUUGUAUCUAGUGGUGAGGACUCGUCCGAUCUGCUAGACUCAGGUGUGUAAGAGCUAGGUUUCCGACCCGUCUUGAAACACGGACCAAGGAGUCUAACGUACAUGCAAGUCAUCCAGUCUUCAUACUGAACGGCGUAGCUCAGGCAAAAAGCAUCAAGGGGCGUAAAGCCCCCGCAGUGCUCUCCUAGGUGGGCUCUCGGGCUUGCACUGGAGUUUGAGCAUGUCAUGUUAGGUCCCGAAAAACGACGAGCUAUGCUUGAGUAGGCCGAAGCCAGGAGAAAUCUUGGUGGAAGGCCGUCGCAGUACUGACGUGCAAAUCGUUUGUCAAACUUGAGUAUAGGGGCGAAAGACCAAUCGAGUCGUUUAGUAGCUGGUUUCCACCGAAGUUUCCCUCAGGAUAGCAAAGGAAUAAGGAGUAUAGGGCGGUAAAGACAAUGACUAGGAGUCCCGGGGACUAUCGGUUCUCGGCUCAUUCUCAAACUUUUAAUGCUCUAAAGACUAGGUACCGUCUUAACCGCGGUGUCUAGUCGUAUCAUAGGUUCCUUUAGUGGGCCACGUUGGUAAGCAAGGAUGGCAAAAAGGGUUCGAACUUAUGUUCGGUUAGGCUCUCGAAAGCAUCGGCACUCACCAUGAAAAGGUGUUGCCUCAUGACGACAGCUGGGCAGUGGCCAUGGAAGCCGGCAUCUGCUAAGGAGUCUCACCAGCCGAAUGAGGUAGCCCUGAAAAUGGACGAGGUUCAACCGGUGUAGCCAUACCGGACCGGGUCCCCUGAUAAAGCGUGCAAGCAGGCUAUCCUGCGCUAUCAUGGAGUAAACGAGUAGGGCGGAUACCCUGGUCGGGUUGAAACGUGCUGGUGACAGCACGCGGACCGGCCAGGGCAGCAGAUCUUGGUAGUAGUAGCAAGUAUUCAUAUGCAACACUCUGAAGGCCGUAGUGGAGGAGGGUUCCUCAACAACAGCAGUUGAUUGGGGGUUAGUCGGAAUCUAAGCGUCAAGGGAAACCUCGGUUGACCUGAGAAUGUACCGUGUCUAGUGGGCAACUGCCGGACCGGUGUUUUCUUAGCACGCGACAGAGAAGCAGGUUAAUAUUCCUGCACCUAACCGUUGAGCAGUGGGCGACCUUAAUGCAAUAUCCGAAAUUGGUGACACAGCUGGGCUCCGUGAGAGGGAUUCUCCCUCCUUGUUACGGGUGUUAACUGCCCUGGUCAGUAUGCAUUGCGCAGAGAGCCAGGCAACCAACGCCUCGAGAGCAUGCCGUUCUUCGGUGUGUUCGCGGUCUCCUUCCGCUGUCCUAGAAAAGCCGAUGGGUGGGUGAAAAUGCGUUGCGCUUCGGUUAGACCGUACCUAAUCCGCAUCAGGUCUCCAAGAUGAGCAGUCUCUGGCGCAUAGAACAAAGUAGCGUAAGGGAAUUCGGCAAGCCGGAUUCGUAACUUCGGGAAAAGGAUUGGCUCUAUAGGCUGGGUUCACUGGGCUGGGUAAGGCGAAGGUGGCAGCGAGUAAUAGGGAAGGGUGCCUCACGGUGCUUGACCUUGUGAAAGCGGCUAUCUGAGCUGAAAACUGGAUCGGUCUUGCUGGCUUCACGGCUGGCUGGGUUGAAACCGGUGGGCCACUAACAGCUCACAUAGAACUUAUAAAGGCAAGGGGAAUCCAACUGUAUAAUUAAAACAUAGCGAUUUGUUGGUGCCAAAGCGUGUAAACGAAUCGUGAUUUCUGCCCAGUGCUCUGGAUGUUAAAAUGGCGAAAUCCAACCAAGCUCGGGUAAACGGCGGGAGUAACUAUGACUCUCUUAAGGUAGCCAAAUGCCUCGUCAUUUAAUUUGUGACGCGCAUGAAUGGAUUAAUGAGAUUCCCACUGUCCCUACCUACUAUCUAGCGAAACCACAGCCAAGGGAACGGGCUUGGUACAAUUAGCGGGGAAAGAAGACCCUGUUGAGCUUGACUCUAGGCACAGAAGCGAGGUGAUUCUAAAGGUGUAGCAUAGGUGGGAGGACCUGGUCCGCCCUUGAAAUACCACCACUUUCGACAUUGCUUUGCUAAUGCUGUAACGAACGAACGGCCCCCGGGCCGCUUGGGCCGCAAGGUUCAGGUACCCGGUAAGGUCAUAUUCUAGCGCUUUCCUGGCUGGUCAAGAUGGCUUGGCCCCUCUGGGUGAGUACUCUGGGACCGCAAACUGGGCUUCCGGGUCUGGUGCGCGCUGCUCUUGGGGGAACCAGAGAUGGUUGGGCUGUCCUCUGUCUGGCAUAAAUAUGGGUACGUAAAGCCGUGUAGCAGACCAUCUGUGUUGGGGAGUUUGGCUGGGGCGGAAAACUGCUACACGGCAACGGCAGUCUCCUAAGGUCCGCUCAGAGACGACAGAAACGCCUCGUAGAGCAUAAAGGCAAAAGCGGGCUUAACUUACAUUUUCAGUAGUAAUGUGAAGCAAGAAAUUGAGGCUUAACGAUCCUUAGCGUCGGGUGCCAGCCCACGCUUGAGGUGAGAGAAAAGUUACCACAGGGAUAACUGGCUUGUGGCCGCCAAGCGUUCAUAGCGACGUGGCUUUUUGAUCCUUCGAUGUCGGCUCUUCCUAUCAUACUAAAGCAGAAUUCAGUAAGUGUUGGAUUGUUCACCCUCUUAAGGGAACGUGAGCUGGGUUUAGACCGUCGUGAGACAGGUUAGUUUUACCCUCCUACUUGACAACUAGGAGGACGCAAGUCCGGUGCAUAUCGUAACAGUAGAUCACCUCAGUACGAGAGGAACCGGUGAUUCAGGCCCCUGGUGGAAACACUGCUCGAAAGGGCAGCGUGUUAAAGCUACGCCUGUUGGAUUAAGGCUGGAAGCAUCUAAGCCC
rnacentral:rRNA from 1 species